GCCCGCUCCUGUUCCCGAAGAACGCGAGUGUCCGCCCAUCCCUAUCCCCCAAAGAACUCCUCUUUAUCCAUUGACGGGAGCCGGGAGGAGUCUAAAUCAGGACCGGCGGCUGGAGCGCGAGGAUCUCGUAUCGCCCGGAUCCCAGGAUAUGCAUAUUGCGAUUAUCAAUAACAUGGAGCAUGGACGCAAUCCUGGUAACUGAUGCCAUGGAUUGCCCACUUUGCAAAAAACCCGCCUGCCGUAUGUGGAGAUCUCGACGGACCGCCCUGCCACAUUUCAGUUCCAAUGACAACCUACUAUUGGGUUGAAGCUUUUGUCCCAUGCUGCAACAGGCGUGUGAUCGGGUCAUGCAUUGAGGAUAUGCGGUCCAUUGCUGCCAGAGAGAAUAAGCCCAUGUGCAAGACAUUCUUUGUAACCAGAGAACUACUGGAGUAUGAAGUGUUGAUUGAUCAUGGAGCUAAGAAGACCAGGAUUCAUGGUGAUGGCUGGCAUAGGUUUCUUGAUGAGUAUGUCAUGCGGCCUGGCGACAUGGUAUAUAUCUGCCUUCCCCGAGGCAAUGGAAGGUUUUUUGUGGAUGUCGAGAGAGAUGGCGUGAAACAUUUAUGUGAUAUGUAACAUUUUUUGGAGCAUUUUAGCUUCGUUGAAUAAUGCAUAUCAGCUUAAAAAUUUGAUCUUUUGUCCA